rnacentral:miRNA from 1 species
ACAAGUAGAACCUUUUUUCUG